AAGCACUUUUAUCGGGAACGAAACAUUGUCGGUGAAUAUCCGGCAAGACUGACGGUACCCGAGGAAUAAGCACCGGCUAACUUCGUGCCAGCAGCCGCGGUAAUACGAAGGGUGCAAGCGUUACUCGGAAUUACUGGGCGUAAAGGGUGCGUAGGUGGUCUGUUAAGUCUGCUGUGAAAUCCCCGGGCUCAACCUGGGAAUGGCAGUGGAUACUGGCAAGCCGGAGUGCGGUAGAGGGUAGUGGAAUUCCCGGUGUAGCAGUGAAAUGCGUAGAGAUCGGGAGGAACACCAGUGGCGAAGGCGGCUACCUGGACCAGCACUGACACUGAGGCACGAAAGCGUGGGGAGCAAACAGGAUUAGAUACCCUGGUAGUCCACGCCCUAAACGAUGCGAACUGGAUGUUGGGUGCAACUUGGCACUCAGUAUCGAAGCUAACGCGUUGAGUUCGCCGCCUGGGGAGUACGGUCGCAAGACUGAAACUCAAAGGAAUUGACGGGGGCCCGCACAAGCGGUGGAGUAUGUGGUUUAAUUCGAUGCAACGCGAAGAACCUUACCUGGUCUUGACAUGUCGCGAAUCCUGCAGAGAUGCGGGAGUGCCUUCGGGAAUGCGAACACAGGUGCUGCAUGGCUGUCGUCAGCUCGUGUCGUGAGAUGUUGGGUUAAGUCCCGCAACGAGCGCAACCCUUGUCCUUAGUUGCCAGCACGUAAAGGUGGGAACUCUAAGGAGACUGCCGGUGACAAACCGGAGGAAGGUGGGGAUGAUGUCAAGUCAUCAUGGCCCUUACGACCAGGGCUACACACGUACUACAAUGGGAGGUACAGAGGGAAGCCAAGCCGCGAGGCGGAGCCAAUCCCGAUAAAACCUCUCUCAGUCCGGAUCGCAGUCUGCAACUCGACUGCGUGAAGUCGGAAUCGCUAGUAAUCGCGAAUCAGC
rnacentral:rRNA from 1 species